GCUGAUGCGUUGUUGGGUAGGGGAGCGUUCUGUAAGCCUGCGAAGGUGGCCUGUGAGGGUUGCUGGAGGUAUCAGAAGUGCGAAUGCUGACAUAAGUAACGAUAAAGCGGGUGAAAAGCCCGCUCGCCGGAAGACCAAGGGUUCCUGUCCAACGUUAAUCGGGGCAGGGUGAGUCGACCCCUAAGGCGAGGCCGAAAGGCGUAGUCGAUGGGAAACGGGUUAAUAUUCCCGUACUUGGUGUUACUGCGAAGGGGGGACGGAGAAGGCUAUGUUGGCCGGGCGACGGUUGUCCCGGUUUAAGCGUGUAGGUGUGUGUUCCAGGUAAAUCCGGUUCACUUUAACACUGAGGCGUGACGACGAGGCACUACGGUGCUGAAGCAACAAAUGCCCUGCUUCCAGGAAAAGCCUCUAAGCAUCAGGUAACAUCAAAUCGUACCCCAAACCGACACAGGUGGUCAGGUAGAGAAUACCAAGGCGCUUGAGAGAACUCGGGUGAAGGAACUAGGCAAAAUGGUGCCGUAACUUCGGGAGAAGGCACGCUGACACGUAGGUGAAGUGAUUUACUCAUGGAGCUGAAGUCAGUCGAAGAUACCAGCUGGCUGCAACUGUUUAUUAAAAACACAGCACUGUGCAAACACGAAAGUGGACGUAUACGGUGUGACGCCUGCCCGGUGCCGGAAGGUUAAUUGAUGGGGUCAGCGCAAGCGAAGCUCCUGAUCGAAGCCCCGGUAAACGGCGGCCGUAACUAUAACGGUCCUAAGGUAGCGAAAUUCCUUGUCGGGUAAGUUCCGACCUGCACGAAUGGCGUAAUGAUGGCCAGGCUGUCUCCACCCGAGACUCAGUGAAAUUGAACUCGCUGUGAAGAUGCAGUGUACCCGCGGCAAGACGGAAAGACCCCGUGAACCUUUACUAUAGCUUGACACUGAACAUUGAGCCUUGAUGUGUAGGAUAGGUGGGAGGCUUUGAAGUGUGGACGCCAGUCUGCAUGGAGCCGACCUUGAAAUACCACCCUUUAAUGUUU
rnacentral:rRNA from 1 species